AACGCUUCAUGUGCGGCCACGCAAGAAGACCUUUCACUGGCCAUAGAGCUGACCCCCUUGAAGCUCAAGUAGCUUAUUUUUGUCGGGAAAACUUCCUUUCAAAAGGCAUUCAGUGACCAAUGGAAAUGUUCAGUAUGCAGAGAGUAGUCUACAUCCAGAGAUGAAAGAGACCAUGCAACAUCAGUAGAACACGCCUGACUCUCCUCCACCAGUCAUACAAGGAGAAUGGUCUAAUGCCUCCCAUCAAAAAGAGAGCUGGCCCAAGCAAGCAAAGACAGCAGCGCAGUCAUCAACUACAUGCACCAUUUCUUCACCAACUACGGAGCAGAGGGAAACACGUGUGGACCUGAAUUAUGAUAACUGCAGUGGCCAAAACAUGACAAAGUUUGUGCUCUGGUAUUGUGCCUGGCGGACCAUGCACAAGCGCCACCACAAUCUGGACCUUCACUUCCUGAUCACAGGCCACACCAAGUUUGCCCCUGACUGGGGCUUCGGCCUCAUCAAGCAGAGCUUCAGAAAGACCACAGUGAACAAUUUGUCUGAGAUUGCUGGUAUUGUGCUGGACAGCACUGUGACAGGAGUCAACAUCCCACAGCUGGUUGGACUGGAGGAUGGUACGGUGCUGGUGGAAAGCUAUGGCUGGCAACAACACCUGACUCCGAACUUCAGUCCACUGCCACAGAUCAAGCAGCACCAGCACUUCAGCUUCGAUGCUCUGGAGCGUGGUGUCAACAAGGAGCGUUCGGACUGCCAAGACCAGGUUUCAGCUGCUGCGCAACGCUGACAUCCUUCCUCCCAUAGAUGGUCUGCCUAUACAAGCACCACCUGGACUCGACACAGCUAGACAAACGUAUCUUUUUGAGAUGAUCAGUUUUGUGACGAAGAGGCUAUGGACAUCACAUUCCCUGUACCAAAGUCAAGGGCAGGACAGAAACAGGCUCUCUCCUAACACACAUACCAUACGUUGCUGCUACUAUUUUUUUUGUAUACUGCUGCUCAGCCACUUUACCCCUGAUUGUAUGCAUAUUACUACCUCGUCUAUCACUGAUAUCAUUAUUGAUAUUGUUCUUGUACAUACUAUAUAUUAUUUUGUUUAUACUGCCACUAUCUAUUUCUGACAUUGCUACUAUGCAAGUAACCAUUUGGCUGUACCGUUUACACCUUCUGUAGAGACCCAUCCACUUAGCAAGACUUAGCAAAAUAUUUAUAUAUAAAAUGAAUAUUGAUAUGUGUGGUCGUAACAUGAGGUUGUGACAUACCACAGCAAUAUCAUGAGACCCUAUCAAGUGUCCACCAGAUAAAUAUAUAGCGCAUGCAUCUGUUUAUGUACUGUACAUGUGCACCUAACUCAGGUUGCAUGGCCUUAACUUAUGUAUGGAAUACUAUGUGAUAAGUGUGUGUGUAACAGUAUAUAAAGGAUGCUAAUUUACUGGUGUGAAGGCNNNNNNNNNNNNNNNNNNNNGGGGGUAUCUGUACAUUACUUUACUAUUUAUAUUUUUGCCAACUUUUACUUUUACUUCACUACAUUCUGAAAAUAAAGACUUUUUACUCCAUAUAUUUUCCCUGACACCCAAAAGUAAAUUGUCCAGUUCACACAUCAAGAGAACAUCCCUACUGCAUCUGAUCUGUAUCUGAUCUGGCAGACUCACUAAACACAAAUGCUUAGUUUGAAAAUGAUGUCUUAGUGUUGGAGUGUACCCCUGGCUAUCAGUAAAAAAAAAAUAUAUAUAUAUAUAUAUAUAUAUAUAUAAUU
rnacentral:lncRNA from 1 species